rnacentral:rRNA from 1 species
UGGGGAAUAUUGCACAAUGGGCGCAAGCCUGAUGCAGCCAUGCCGCGUGUAUGAAGAAGGCCUUCGGGUUGUAAAGUACUUUCAGUCGGGAGGAAGGUGUCAAGGUUAAUAACCUUGUCGAUUGACGUUACCCGCAGAAGAAGCACCGGCUAACUCCGUGCCAGCAGCCGCGGUAAUACGGAGGGUGCAAGCGUUAAUCGGAAUUACUGGGCGUAAAGCGCACGCAGGCGGUCUGUCAAGUCGGAUGUGAAAUCCCCGGGCUCAACCUGGGAACUGCAUUCGAAACUGGCAGGCUAGAGUCUUGUAGAGGGGGGUAGAAUUCCAGGUGUGGCGGUGAAAUGCGUAGAGAUCUGGAGGAAUACCGGUGGCGAAGGCGGCCCCCUGGACAAAGACUGACGCUCAGGUGCGAAAGCGUGGGGAGCAAACAGG